ACGGGGCCCGCACAAGCGGUGGAGCAUGUUGGUUUAAUUCGAAGCAACGCGAAGUAACCUUACCAGGUCUUGACAUCCCGAUGCUAUUUCUAGAGAUAGAAAGUUACUUCGGUACAUCGGUGACAGGUGGUGCAUGGUUGUCGUCAGCUCGUGUCGUGAGAUGUUGGGUUAAGUCCCGCAACGAGCGCAACCCCUAUUGUUAGUUGCCAUCAUUCAGUUGGGCACUCUAGCGAGACUGCCGGUAAUAAACCGGAGGAAGUGGGGAUGACGUCAAAUCAUCAUGCCCCUUAUGACCUGGGCUACACACGUGCUACAAUGGUUGGUACAACGAGUUACGAGUCGGUGACGGCGAGCUAAUCUCUUAAAGCCAAUCUCAGUUCGGAUUGUAGGCUGCAACUCGCCUACAUGAAGUCGGAAUCGCUAGUAAUCGCGGAUCAGCACGCCGCGGUGAAUACGUUCCCGGGCCUU
rnacentral:rRNA from 1 species